rnacentral:rRNA from 1 species
AGAGUUUGAUCCUGGCUCAGGAUGAACGCUAGCGACAGGCUUAACACAUGCAAGUCGAGGGGCAGCACAGGUAGCAAUACCGGGUGGCGACCGGCGCACGGGUGAGUAACGCGUAUGCAACUUACCUAUCAGAGGGGGAUAACCCGGCGAAAGUCGGACUAAUACCGCAUGAAGCAGGGGCCCCGCAUGGGGAUAUUUGCUAAAGAUUCAUCGCUGAUAGAUAGGCAUGCGUUCCAUUAGGCAGUUGGCGGGGUAACGGCCCACCAAACCGACGAUGGAUAGGGGUUCUGAGAGGAAGGUCCCCCACAUUGGUACUGAGACACGGACCAAACUCCUACGGGAGGCAGCAGUGAGGAAUAUUGGUCAAUGGGCGUAAGCCUGAACCAGCCAAGUCGCGUGAGGGAUGAAGGUUCUAUGGAUCGUAAACCUCUUUUAUAAGGGAAUAAAGUGCGGGACGUGUCCCGUUUUGUAUGUACCUUAUGAAUAAGGAUCGGCUAACUCCGUGCCAGCAGCCGCGGUAAUACGGAGGAUCCGAGCGUUAUCCGGAUUUAUUGGGUUUAAAGGGUGCGUAGGCGGCCUUUUAAGUCAGCGGUGAAAGUCUGUGGCUCAACCAUAGAAUUGCCGUUGAAACUGGGAGGCUUGAGUAUGUUUGAGGCAGGCGGAAUGCGUGGUGUAGCGGUGAAAUGCUUAGAUAUCACGCAGAACCCCGAUUGCGAAGGCAGCCUGCCAAGCCAUGACUGACGCUGAUGCACGAAAGCGUGGGGAUCAAACAGGAUUAGAUACCCUGGUAGUCCACGCAGUAAACGAUGAUCACUAGCUGUUUGCGAUACACUGUAAGCGGCACAGCGAAAGCGUUAAGUGAUCCACCUGGGGAGUACGCCGGCAACGGUGAAACUCAAAGGAAUUGACGGGGGCCCGCACAAGCGGAGGAACAUGUGGUUUAAUUCGAUGAUACGCGAGGAACCUUACCCGGGCUUAAAUUGCAUCUGAAUAAUUUGGAAACAGAUUAGCCGUAAGGCAGAUGUGAAGGUGCUGCAUGGUUGUCGUCAGCUCGUGCCGUGAGGUGUCGGCUUAAGUGCCAUAACGAGCGCAACCCUUGCCACUAGUUACUAACAGGUUAGGCUGAGGACUCUGGUGGGACUGCCAGCGUAAGCUGCGAGGAAGGCGGGGAUGACGUCAAAUCAGCACGGCCCUUACAUCCGGGGCGACACACGUGUUACAAUGGCGUGGACAAAGGGAAGCCACCUGGCGACAGGGAGCGAAUCCCCAAACCACGUCUCAGUUCGGAUCGGAGUCUGCAACCCGACUCCGUGAAGCUGGAUUCGCUAGUAAUCGCGCAUCAGCCAUGGCGCGGUGAAUACGUUCCCGGGCC